UCUCCGUUGGUGAACCAGCGGAGGGGUCAUUACCGAGUUUAUAACUCCCAAACCCAAUGUGAACCAUACCAAACUGUUGCCUCGGCGGGGUCACGCCCCGGGUGCGUCGCAGCCCCGGAACCAGGCGCCCGCCGGAGGGACCAACCAAACUCUUUCUGUAGUCCCCUCGCGGACGUUAUUUUUACAGCUCUGAGCAAAAAUUCAAAAUGAAUCAAAACUUUCAACAACGGAUCUCUUGGUUCUG
rnacentral:misc_RNA from 1 species